CGGGACGGGUGAGUAACGCGUGGAUAACCUGCCUCACACUGGGGGAUAACAGUUAGAAAUGACUGCUAAUACCGCAUAAGCGCACAGUACCGCAUGGUACAGUGUGAAAAACUCCGGUGGUGUGAGAUGGAUCCGCGUCUGAUUAGCCAGUUGGCGGGGUAACGGCCCACCAAAGCGACGAUCAGUAGCCGACCUGAGAGGGUGACCGGCCACAUUGGGACCGAGACACGGCCCAA
rnacentral:rRNA from 1 species